rnacentral:misc_RNA from 1 species
CCGAGUUUACACUCCCAACCCCUGUGAACAUACCAAAUUGUUGCCUCGGCGGAUCAGCCCGCUGCCCGGUAAAACGGGAGCGGCCCGCCAGAGGACCCCUAAACUCUGUUUCUAUAUGUAGCUUCUGAGUAAACCAUAAAUAAAUCAAACUUUCAACAACGGAUCUCUUGGUUCUGGCAUCGAUGAAGAACGCAGCAAAAUGCGAUAAGUAAUGUGAAUUGCAGAAUUCAGUGAAUCAUCGAAUCUUUGAACGCACAUUGCGCCCGCCAGUAUUCUGGCGGGCAUGCCUGUUCGAGCGUCAUUUACAACCCUCAAGCCCCCGGGUUUGGUGUUGGGGAUCGGCGAGCCCUUGCGGCACGCCGGCCCGAAAUCUAGUGGCGGUCUCGCUGCAGCUUCCAUUGCGUAGUAGCAAAACCCUCGCAACUGGUACGCGGCGCGGCCAAGCCGUUUAAAACCCCCAACUUCUGAAUGUUGACCUCGGAUCAUGUAGGAAUACCCGCUGAACUUAAGCAUAUCAAUAAGCGGAGGAAUCGCGAUCUUGGUCAUUUAGAGGAAGUAAAAGUCCGUAACAAGGUUUCCGUAGGUGAAACUCUGCGGAAGGAUCACUAGUGAUUAAAUCGAGCGUGGUCUUCAUUGACCGCUCACCCUUCUCACCAUCCACAUACCCCUGUGCACUGUUUAGCCUGAGCCGGUUUUCCGGUCCAGGUUAUCAUUUCAUACAAACUCUAGUCUUAUGAAUGUAAACGUUUUAAUAACAUAAUA